UCCUUCGGGAGAUGAGUAGAGCGGCGCACGGGUGAGUAACGCGUGGGUAAUCUACCCGACAGAUCGGGAUAACAGAUGGAAACGUCUGCUAAUACCGGAUACGCUUCAUAUUUGACUUUAUGGGGGAAAGGUGGCCUCUACAUGUAAGCUACCACUGUCGGAUGGGCCCGCGUCUCAUUAGCUUGUUGGUGGGGUAAUGGCCUACCAAGGCAACGAUGAGUAGCUGGUUUGAGAGGAUGAUCAGCCACACUGGGACUGAAACACGGCCCAGACUCCUACGGGAGGCAGCAGUGGGGAAUAUUGCGCAAUGGGGGAAACCCUGACGCAGCGACGCCGUGUGCGGGAAGAAGGCCUUCGGGUCGUAAACCGCUGUCAGGAGGGAAGAAACCAUUAGAGUCGAAUAGGCUCUUUUGCUGACGGUACCUCCAGAGGAGGCACCGGCUAACUCCGUGCCAGCAGCCGCGGUAAUACGGAGGGUGCAAGCGUUAAUCGGAAUCACUGGGCGUAAAGCGUGCGUAGGCGGCGCAGUAAGUCACGGGUGAAAGCCCUCGGCUCAACCGAGGAAUUGCCUCUGAUACUGCUGUGCUUGAGGCUU
rnacentral:rRNA from 1 species